rnacentral:rRNA from 1 species
GAUGAACGCUGGCGGCGUGCCUAAUACAUGCAAGUCGAGCGAACGGACGAGAAGCUUGCUUCUCUGAUGUUAGCGGCGGACGGGUGAGUAACACGUGGAUAACCUACCUAUAAGACUGGGAUAACUUCGGGAAACCGGAGCUAAUACCGGAUAAUAUUUUGAACCGCAUGGUUCAAAAGUGAAAGACGGUCUUGCUGUCACUUAUAGAUGGAUCCGCGCUGCAUUAGCUAGUUGGUAAGGUAACGGCUUACCAAGGCAACGAUGCAUAGCCGACCUGAGAGGGUGAUCGGCCACACUGGAACUGAGACACGGUCCAGCCUCCUACGGGAGGCAGCAGUAGGGAAUCUUCCGCAAAGGGCGAAAGCCUGACGGAGCAACGCCGCGUGAGUGAUGAAGGUCUUCGGAUCGUAAAACUCUGUUAUUAGGGAAGAACAUAUGUGUAAGUAACUGUGCACAUCUUGACGGUACCUAAUCAGAAAGCCACGGCUAACUACGUG